UAACAUAUAUGGUAGCAUGUGCGCUUGUAUGCAUGCAAAGGUACACAAAUGAUAGCAUUAGUGCACAUGCAGCAUGAGUAAUAAGUACUUGUAAAGAGUACAAUGGCUAGGCUGCACACACAGACUUCAUGCGUAUAUUCUAUAAGUAUAGAAGCUCUAUUCUUGCAUAGAAUCUAAAGUAUAAAAGCUCUAUAUUUGUGAUGACAUUAUCAAAAACCAACAGUUGUUACAUGUUACUAAUAGGCACAAGAAUUCAAGCAACUCAUCAGUGAGAACUGCUGGGACUUAAAAGGGGGGUCAACGCAUCAUAAUGAUCAACAGUCAUCAUGAAUUACAUGCAAAUUCAUGCAUUAAUCAUUCUGUUUACGUGCCCAAACAUCACAAGCUUUGUGCACGUAGCGAAGCUUAUUGAAAUCAAAGUGGGUUUUUCCAAGUGAUGAAGAUUUUUCAGUUGUUAAGGAGAAUUGACAUAUGGUCUUUGUUUGUCUACUCGAUUAGAAUUGGCUUUCAGGUACCAAUGGGUUUGCAAAGCAUGAUUAAUUUUUGUACAUGAAAUAAAUUUGUAAAUAUACAUUGACAAAUAUAUAUACAUUUAGAUCAAUGAAGUUCAGUAGGGGUGGUUAUGUUGGGGAUUAAUGAAUUCUGAACAGUAUAAACUAUGAUGCAAAUUUACACUGAGAACUAUGUAAAAUGUUUAGUUUUGCAAGUUCUGUUUGCAAUCAGGUUCAUUUUAGCCCUCAGCAACAAUUUAUAGGGAGAACCAUGAGCAAGAACAUUAAACAGUUCUACAUGGACAUGAUGACACAAGAAAGUUCUCAAGUUGUUUGAUAAAGAGACUGGUUUAGAGAGAAAAUCAAUUUCUUUGUUCAAAAGAAGCAGAACUUAUUAUUGUUUUUUUUACAUGAGAAGCGAUUAAUU
rnacentral:lncRNA from 1 species